rnacentral:rRNA from 1 species
CCUACGGGAGGCAGCAGUGAGGAAUAUUGGUCAAUGGCCGGAAGGCUGAACCAGCCAUGUCGCGUGAAGGUCAGUGCCCUUUGGGCGUUAAACUUCUUUUGUGCGGGAGCAAUAAUGGUCACGUGUGGCCAGACGAGAGUACCGUACGAAUAAGCAUCGGCUAACUCCGUGCCAGCAGCCGCGGUAAUACGGGGGAUGCAAGCGUUAUCCGGGUUUAUUGGGUUUAAAGGGUGCGUAGGCUGUGAGGUAAGUCAGCGGGGAAAUGCCCCCGCUCAACGGGGUGAAGUGCCAUUGAUACUGCCUUGCUGGAAUGCGGAUGACGUGGGAGGAAUGUGUGGUGUAGCGGUGAAAUGCAUAGAUAUCACACAGAACACCGAUUGCGAAGGCAUCUCACGAAUCCGCGAUUGACGCUGAUGCACGAAAGCGUGGGUAUCAAACAGGAUUAGAUACCCCUGUAGUC